GACGAACGCUGGCGGCGUGCUUAACACAUGCAAGUCGAACGGAAAGGCCCUGCUUUUGUGGGGUGCUCGAGUGGCGAACGGGUGAGUAACACGUGAGUAACCUGCCCUUGACUUUGGGAUAACUUCAGGAAACUGGGGCUAAUACCGGAUAGGAGCUCCUGCUGCAUGGUGGGGGUUGGAAAGUUUCGGCGGUUGGGGAUGGACUCGCGGCUUAUCAGCUUGUUGGUGGGGUAGUGGCUUACCAAGGCUUUGACGGGUAGCCGGCCUGAGAGGGUGACGGGCCAAAUGGGGCGGGGGAAAGGGCCGAAACACAAAGGGGGGGAAGAGGGGGGGAAAUAGGGAAAAGGGGGGGAAGCGUGAGGAAGAAAGGCGGGGGGGGGGAGGAGGGCCUUGGGGUGGAAAACGGUUUUGGCGUGUGACGAAGGGGGAGGGAGGGAAAUGGGAAAAGAAGCCCCGGCAAACUAGGU
rnacentral:rRNA from 1 species